GAUGAACGCUGGCGGCGUGCCUAAUACAUGCAAGUCGAGCGAACGGACGAGAAGCUUGCUUCUCUGAUGUUAGCGGCGGACGGGUGAGUAACACGUGGAUAACCUACCUAUAAGACUGGGAUAACUUCGGGAAACCGGAGCUAAUACCGGAUAAUAUUUUGAACCGCAUGGUUCAAAAGUGAAAGACGGUUUUGCUGUCACUUAUAGAUGGAUCCGCGCUGCAUUAGCUAGUUGGUAAGGUAACGGCUUCCAAGGCAACGAUGCAUAGCCGACCUGAGAGGGUGAUCGGCCACACUGGAACUGAGACACGGUCCAGACUCCUACGGGAGGCAGCAGUAGGGAAUCUUCCGCAAUGGGCGAAAGCCUGACGGAGCAACGCCGCGUGAGUGAUGAAGGUCUUCGGAUCGUAAAACUCUGUUAUUAGGGAAGAACAUAUGUGUAAGUAACUGUGCACAUCUUGACGGUACCUAAUCAGAAAGCCACGGCUAACUACGUG
rnacentral:rRNA from 1 species